UGGGGAAUCUUGGACAAUGGGGGCAACCCUGAUCCAGCGACGCCGCGUGGGUGGUAAGGCCUUCGGGUUGUAAAGCCCUUUCAGCGGGGAAGAUGAUGACAUUACCCGCAGAAGGAGCGCCGGCUAACUCCGUGCCAGCAGCCGCGGUAAGACGGAGGGCGCUAGCGUUGUUCGGACUUACUGGGCGUAAAGCGCACGCAGGUGGUAACGCAAGUGGGGUGUGAAAGCCACCAGCUCAACUGGCGGAGGCCAUCCCAAACUGCGUCACUUGAGGCCUGUAGAGGUAUGUGGAAUUGCCGGUGUAGUGGUGAAAUGCGUAGAGAUCGGCAGGAACACCCAGGGGGAAGCCAGCAUACUGGACAGGUCCUGACACUCAGGUGCGACAGCGUGGGGAGCGAACCGGAUUAGAUACCCGCGUAGUCC
rnacentral:rRNA from 1 species